CUUGACUAUCUGGAGAGAACAGCCUCUCUCUCCUACCUGCUUCCUGGGAGGAAGCCAGCAAUCCCUCUCCUUUUCCUGCCUAGCCGGGAGGAGUUUAUUCCCACUGCAACAGCUGAUUACCUGCAGCUGAGCAGUGGGUUGGAGACGAUCCAAAAAACCCUGGCCUGGAUCUAGGUCUCCCCAGAACACCACUAAACUGUGGAGUGGAGCAUUGGCCCACCC